AAAAGCUCGUAGUUGGAUCUGUGUCCCGCGCCGCCGGUUCACCGCCUGUCGGUGUUAAACUGGCGUGUAUGCGGGACGUCCUGUCGGUGGCGGUCCGGCGCUUCGUCGACCGUAAGGGUCUUCCCGGUUACCGGCGUUGACCCUGAAGGUCUUCGUAUGUUUCCGGCCGCCUUUUCAAUCCCGCCGCGGUGCUCUUCACCGAGUGUCGAGGCGGGCCGGCACGUUUACUUUGAACAAAUUAGAGUGCUUUAAGCAGGCUCUUCUCUGCCUGUAUACAGUGUGCAUGGAAUAAUGGAAUAGGACCUCGGUUCUAUUUUGUUGGUUUUCGGAAUCUGAGGUAAUGAUCAAUGGGGACAGGCGGGGGCAUUCGUAUUGCGACGUUAGAGGUGAAAUUCUUGGAUCGUCGCAAGACGGACCGAAGCGAAAGCAUUUGCCAAGUAUGUUCCCGUCGAUCAAGAACGAAAGUUAGAGGUUCGAAGGCGAUCAGAUACCGCCCUAGUUCUAACCUUAAACUAUGCCUGCCAGCGAUCCGCCGGCGUUCCUCCGAUGACCCGGCGGGCAGCUUCCGGGAAACCAGAGCUUUUGGGUUCCGGGGGAAGUAUGGUUGCAAAGCUGAAACUUAAAGGAAUUGACGGAAGGGCACCACCAGGAGUGGAGCCUGCGGCUUAAUUUGACUCAACACGGGAAAACUCACCAGGCCCGGACACCGGAAGGAUUGACAGAUUGAGAGCUCUUUCUUGAUUCGGUGGGUGGUGGUGCAUGGCCGUUCUUAGUUGGUGGAGCGAUUUGUCUGGUUAAUUCCGAUAACGAACGAGACUCUAGCCUACUAAAUAGACGUAUCCGGUAUCCACAAUCGUGCUACCGGCGAGCAUCUUCUUCUUAGAGGGACAGGCGGCUUCUAGCCGCACGAGACUGAGCAAUAACAGGUCUGUGAUGCCCUUAGAUGUCCUGGGCCGCACGCGCGCUACACUGAAGGAAUCAACGUGUUAUCCCUGUCCGAAAGGACCGGGUAACCCGCUGAACCUCCUUCGUGCUAGGGAUUGGGGCUUGCAAUUGUUCCCCAUGAACGAGGAAUUCCCAGUAAGCGCGAGUCAUAAGCUCGCGUUGAUUACGUCCCUGCCCUUUGUACACACCGCCCGUCGCUACUACCGAUUGAAUGAUUUAGUGAGGUCUUCGGACUGGUGCGCGGAGGUGGCGUCAGUUGCCUCCGAUGUUGUCGGAAAGAUGACCAAACUUGAUCAUUUAGAGGAAGUAAAAGUCGUAACAA
rnacentral:rRNA from 2 species